UUCCUUCUGUGUUUUAGUCCAACAUAAACGAUUCCCUUUCAGCACACACAGUACCCUGCUAUUUAUUUGAGAUUGAAAGAAGGCAAGAAAGUAGUUUUCUCAUUCAACUUCUAAGACAUCUCCAAUUUUGUGGCAUGUUUUGGCCAGUGCCUAGGUAAAGCCCAGUCAUGGUCACCGGUAAAAUAAAUUAGUGUGUGUGGCUAAUAGAACUUGUCUACAGAUUCAAACACUUCAGUUUAAUCAUAAUCAUAUUUUGAGAGUUACGUGCUAGCAGAUUUUUAUAUAAUAUUUAAUUAUACUUGCAAACAAGAGAUGCAAAGUUUCAUUCGAGUAGUUUUACAAUCAACUUUUACAUUGACUACAUUUGCUACUCUAGGUAUGGGGCCAGCCUGAGUCUUUGGGAAUCACCAACACAAAACAAUGCCAAAACAAGACAGGGGGUGUUCUUUUCUUACAAGAAGGAAAGGCACAUUGUUGUUUGUUAGAAACACAUUUCUCCAUUUUCAUGGUGAAUCUAAGUUUUACAGCCAGAUAUUGUAUGCUUUCCUGUUUGUACUUGGUUUUGGGUUUGGGGUUUUUACUUGUACUUAAAAUGCAUAAAUGGUUUGUAUAUUAGGGCAAAUCAGCUACUCUUUGCAGUGGGAGUAACCACACCAAAGCCAAUGGGUUUCUCAGGCUUAAGUCAAGAAAGGUAUUAGUUCUGUUUUGAUAUAUCAUCCAUGACAGUGGGGUCCUGGCCAUGACUAUGGUUCUGAGGCUCUGUAAUAAAACACAAAUAUAAUACUUAGUAAUGCUUUGGCUCCUUGGGUGGAACAUCUGUCUGACCUGCCCUGUAACCCAAUUUAGCUUUCUUCUUUAAAUUAUACAGAGAUUGGAAUUUUGUCCCUAUUUGCCAUGAAAAUAUGUUUUACCCACAUAUUUUCUUCAGCGAUCUAAAGCCUUUACUACCAGGAAAUGAUCCUGUCUAUUUUCAGGGCUCACUUUAUUGUGAUACAUGAAAAUAAGAGUAUUAUAAAAAGUUUCCAAGGUUCAAUCACUCUUCAGGCUGGAUUUGCAAGGUGAGUGUUCAGGCAUCAAUUCAUCUGCAGGGAUUCAUAUUGUCUGUGUGGUUUCAGGGGGAUUUUGGCAUCCAAGCUGUGAUCUGAGCCCAUGUGGAGUUAUGGCUGAGUAGUAAUACAAUGGGAAACAUGGAAGAAAAGAAGUUAUGUUUGUACUCUGUCCUUGUCUGUGCCACCUUAACCAAGAUGUUGGAAAAUUGCUCUCUUAUGUGCAGGGUACUUCAUAAAUGAGUGAGCUACUUUUGGGAUUUGGCUGACAGAAGAGGCUGUCUAGACUUGCAGGUGAAAAACUUGCUUGGCAGGUAGGAGACCCAGAGGAUUCAAAGUGUGGUGACACUCAAGACAACACCCCAGUCCAAAAGCCAGUUCCCAACCCUUCCUUGGCACACCUGAAGCUGUGAUAAUGCUCUCACGUUUCCCAUUCUAGAGCACUCCUCUUUAUGGAACUGGGCCUGUGUCCAUGAGGAAGAACAGGUAGCUGGCAGGUCCAUAUCCUACAAGUUGUGUCAUUAGCUGGAAGGGGCAGGAAAUUAAAAUAAUUUAAUGAAAGUUUAAACACCUUCAACUGAAAGAAAUGGUAGCACCUUCUUCCAGCUCCCUGAGCUCCUCUGCCUAAGUUGGGUCCUACAUCUGCUCCUGAAGUUCUUCUGGUUCUAUGUUGACUUUUUUCUGUAGGAUCUCAAGCCUGGCUCACAGACAUCUUCCUACCCUUGGAAAUCUGUCCAUGGUUACUUCCUAUGAGUUCCUAACUGCAAGAUUCCUACUACAGAUAUCAUGAAAACAACAUAAACUAUUCCAUGAGAUAGCUGUUGAAAGAGAAAUACAACUGUCUUCAAUAAAUCAGUCUUCAUUUUAAGUCAUCGUAAGAAUCUCAGUGCGUCAGCAGCUUCCUCUUCAGAGGCUCCCUCAAUCUGAUCUGUAACUGGCACUACCUCUGGUCCUGAGCUCAGCUUUUGGGAGGAUGUCACAUGCUAAACCCACGUUGUGCUGUGCCAAAUGCUUUUCCUUGGACAAUGUGAAUCUGACUGAAGCAAUGCCAUUUCCUUGGUGCUCCAAAGAGAUCAGUGACUACAACCUGCACCAACAUUCCCAGAUAACAGGCUUUAAAUCAAGAGCUUCAGGCUGUCUCAGUGUGGCCCCAUAACUGCUUUUUUUCCAAGGGAUAUAAAUCAGAUAUGCAAUGGCCAAAGCAGCCAGAACAUUCAGGUUCCUUCUAUCAAAAAUUAAUCAAAACACUAUCAACUAUCCAAUGUAAUCUUUUCCAUAAAGAAUUUUGUGAAUAUUGGCUCUUAUAAUAUGAUACAUUCUUAUUUAGAAUAUCACAAAUAGGUUGUGACUGUGAACUUGUAACUGAGCACAAAUCCAGGCACUGCUCACCAAGCCACCAUCUGCUCUUUAUUUAAGUUACUUCAAAAACAACUCUUUCUUCCAUGGUGCCUACAGUACACAAUAUGACUAACGUAAGUAAUUUAAAUAAGUUAAUAAAUUUGCAAAUACCAUUAGGACAUGCCUAUGCAAAAAAUUCAUGAGUACACAGUCCAUUGCCAUAAAUGGAUUUAUUCAGUUUCCCUCUGUUCCUUCCCUUGUUUAUUGGUGGCACCUGGCACAUCCCAUACAACGGAGGUCCAUCUUGUCAGCUGUGCAGAAGCACUGGACCACUGAACCUCUAAUGACCUCCUGCACUUCCAGAGGUGACUGCAUUUUGCCUUCAUCAGAUUUCAAUAGGAGCAUUGUCUUCUGCAAGGACCCCAAAAUCAAGAGGCAGCAUUCUCCAGAGGACUAUGUGGCUUUUAGGGAGCCUGAGUCAUUGCCUGACAUCCCUCAUUUUUCUUUGAUAUUUUUAGGGGGAGUCUGUAUUGACUGAUUCCUAAUUUAGGAUCCUUUGGUUAGAUGAAAUAAACCUGGGGCCUUGACAGGACUUGAAUAUGAAACUCUUUGAGGAUUUCAGCCUAAUGUCUUUGUAAAAGGAUCAAAGUCAAAUCUUUGCCUAUUUGGUUUCAAUGCUGACAAAAUUGGAAUGCUACUUAAAAAUAGUAAUCUCUGAUAAUGGCUUGAUAAUAGAAAUUAUUACUUGCUUCUAAGUUUUAACAGAGCUAGAGAUAAGAGCAUAACUAGAUUAUAAUAUCUUUAUAUUACAAUCUUGUCUUUUACUGGAUUUUUAAAAGCCAAGAAAACUGGAAAGUCUGAUGUUACAUUUUAAUUUG